rnacentral:rRNA from 1 species
UACGGAGGAUCCAAGCGUUAUCCGGAAUCAUUGGGUUUAAAGGGUCCGUAGGCGGUUAGAUAAGUCAGUGGUGAAAGCCCAUCGCUCAACGGUGGAACGGCCAUUGAUACUGUCUGACUUGAAUUAUAAAGAAGUAACUAGAAUAUGUAGUGUAGCGGUGAAAUGCUUAGAGAUUACAUGGAAUACCAAUUGCGAAGGCAGGUUACUAUUUAUGGAUUGACGCUGAUGGACGAAAGCGUGGGUAGCGAACAGG